rnacentral:rRNA from 1 species
GAUGAACGCUGGCGGCGUGCCUAAUACAUGCAAGUCGAGCGAACAGACGAGGAGCUUGCUCCUCUGACGUUAGCGGCGGACGGGUGAGUAACACAUGGAUAACCUACCUAUAAGACUGGGAUAACUUCGGGAAACCGGAGCUAAUACCGGAUAAUAUAUUGAACCGCAUGGUUCAAUAGUGAAAGACGGUUUUGCUGUCACUUAUAGAUGGAUCCGCGCCGCAUUAGCUAGUUGGUAAGGUAACGGCUUACCAAGGCGACGAUGCGUAGCCGACCUGAGAGGGUGAACGGCCACACUGGAACUGAGACACGGUCCAGACUCCUACGGGAGGCAGCAGUAGGGAAUCUUCCGCAAUGGGCGAAAGCUUGACGGAGCAACGCCGCGUGAGUGAUGAAGGUCUUCGGAUCGUAAAACUCUGUUAUUAGGGAAGAACAAAUGUGUAAGUAACUAUGCACGUCUUGACGGUACCUAAUCAGAAAGCCACGGCUAACUACGUG